GGUUAAGCGACUAAGCGUACACGGUGGAUGCCCUGGCAGUCAGAGGCGAUGAAGGACGUGCUAAUCUGCGAUAAGCGUCGGUAAGGUGAUAUGAACCGUUAUAACCGGCGAUUUCCGAAUGGGGAAACCCAGUGUGAUUCG
rnacentral:rRNA from 4 species